GGUGCAAGAUGUGGAAUCUACGGUGCCAACUGCAUGAAAUGGAUCAUAAGUAUGCAGGCCUUCAAUGCCCAUGGACUAUACUGUGUUCCCUUAUAUGACAGUCUAGGUGCUGGUGCAGUGGAAUAUAUCAUUUGUCAUGCUGAGAUUUCACUUACCUUUG